UUCCUAGUGCUACCAGAUUUCUUUCACCUGGAAACACUGAGAAGUCCAUUUCAUAUUUUCAGGCACUAAGUAAGUGGGAGUCCACAAGCCACAGGAGCUGUGACGAGCUAAAGCCCCUACAUGCUGGUGGGGGUCCUCUUUUUCAGGUUCUCACCACUGCCUUCCAGAACUGCACACAUACCCCGUUUUAUCCCUGAACAGAAUUAAAUUCUCAUGCAAUCUCUUGGCUCUGGGAGGCCAGGAACUGGGCUGUUCACAAGGUCUCUGAACUGCUCAGGAGAAAGGUGCAGUAUCUGUGCCAUGCAUGAAAUGUGGUAACAUCUAGCUUUGAAUUCUGCUCAACUGUUGGCCAGACAGCUGAUGAGACUUAUCCAAUUUCUAGAGCACUUCAUCUGCUCUGUGAAAUGGAAAAUAGCUGUAUUUAUGUAAAUAAUAAAUGAAAUGCCAGGAGGUGGC
rnacentral:lncRNA from 1 species